rnacentral:rRNA from 1 species
CGGGCCUUGUACACACCGCCCGUCACACCACGAAAGCUGUUUGUACCCAAAGCUAUUUUAGCCAACCCGUAAGGGAGGCGAGUAGUUAAGGUAUGGAUAGUGAUUGGGGUG